GACGAACGCUGGCGGCGUGCUUAACACAUGCAAGUCGAACGGAAAGGCCCUGCUUUUGUGGGGUGCUCGAGUGGCGAACGGGUGAGUAACACGUGAGUAACCUGCCCUUGACUUUGGGAUAACUUCAGGAAACUUGGGCUAUUACCGGAUAGGAUCUCCUGCUGCAUGGUGGGGGUUGGAUAGUUUCGGCGGUUGGGGAUGGACUCGCGGCUUAUCAGCUUGUUGGUGGGGUAGUGGCUUACCAAGGCUUUGACGGGUAGCCGGCCUGAGAGGGUGACCGGACACAUUGGGACUGAGAUACGGCACAGACUACUACGGGAGGCAGCAGUGGGGAAUAUUGCACAAUGGGCGGAAGCCUGAUGCAGCAACGCCGCGUGCGGGAUGACGGCCUUCGGGUUGUAAACCGCUUUCGCCUGUGACGAAGUGUGAGUGACGGUAAUGGGUAAAGAAGCACCGGCUAACUACGUG
rnacentral:rRNA from 1 species